GCUGGAAUAGCUCAGGUGGCUAGAGCGUGUGGCUGUUAACCACAAGGUAGGAGGUUCAAGCCCUCCUUCUAGCG
rnacentral:tRNA from 1 species